AUACGGAGGAUCCGAGCGUUAUCCGGAUUUAUUGGGUUUAAAGGGUGCGCAGGCGGCCAUUUAAGUCAGCGGUUAAAUCGUGGGGCUCAACCCCAUUCUGCCGUUGAUACUGGGUGGCUUGAUUGCGGUCGAGGUUGGCGGAAUUCGUUGUGUAGCGGUGAAAUGCAUAGAUAUGACGAAGAACACCGAUUGCGUAGGCAGCUGACCAGACCGCAAAUGACGCUCAUGCACGAAAGUGCGGGGAUCGAACAGGAUUAGAUACCCUGGUAGUCCGCACAGUAAACGAUGAAUACUUGUUUUCGGCGAUAAAAUGUCGGAGGCAAAGCGAAAGCGAUAAGUAUUCCACCUGGGGAGUACGCCGGCAACGGUGAAACUCAAAGGAAUUGACGGGG
rnacentral:rRNA from 1 species